rnacentral:rRNA from 1 species
UGGGGAAUAUUGGACAAUGGGCGAAAGCCUGAUCCAGCCAAGCCGCGUGUGUGAAGAAGGUCUUCGGAUUGUAAAGCACUUUAAGUUGGGAGGAAGGGCAGUAAGUUAAUACCUUGCUGUUUUGACGUUACCUACAGAAUAAGCACCGGCUAACUCUGUGCUAG